GACGAACGCUGGCGGCGUGCUUAACACAUGCAAGUCGAACGAAGAGCGAUGGAAGCUUGCUUCUAUCAAUCUUAGUGGCGAACGGGUGAGUAACGCGUAAUCAACCUGCCCUUCAGAGGGGGACAACAGUUGGAAACGACUGCUAAUACCGCAUACGAUCUAGUCUCGGCAUCGAGGAUAGAUGAAAGGUGGCCUCUACAUGUAAGCUAUCACUGAAGGAGGGGAUUGCGUCUGAUUAGCUAGUUGGAGGGGUAACGGCCCACCAAGGCGAUGAUCAGUAGCCGGUCUGAGAGGAUGAACGGCCACAUUGGGACUGAGACACGGCCCAGACUCCUACGGGAGGCAGCAGUGGGGAAUCUUCCGCAAUGGACGAAAGUCUGACGGAGCAACGCCGCGUGAGUGAUGACGGCCUUCGGGUUGUAAAGCUCUGUUAAUCGGGACGAAAGGCCUUCUUGCGAAUAGUGAGAAGGAUUGACG
rnacentral:rRNA from 1 species